AGUGAACGCUGGCGGUAGGCCUAACACAUGCAAGUCGAACGGCAGCACAGUAAGAGCUUGCUCUUACGGGUGGCGAGUGGCGGACGGGUGAGGAAUACAUCGGAAUCUACUUUUUCGUGGGGGAUAACGUAGGGAAACUUACGCUAAUACCGCAUACGACCUACGGGUGAAAGCAGGGGAUCUUCGGACCUUGCGCGAUUGAAUGAGCCGAUGUCGGAUUAGCUAGUUGGCGGGGUAAAGGCCCACCAAGGCGACGAUCCGUAGCUGGUCUGAGAGGAUGAUCAGCCACACUGGAACUGAGACACGGUCCAGACUCCUACGGGAGGCAGCAGUGGGGAAUAUUGGACAAUGGGCGCGAGCCUGAUCCAGCCAUACCGCGUGGGUGAAGAAGGCCUUCGGGUUGUAAAGCCCUUUUGUUGGGAAAGAAAAGCAGCAGGUUAAUACCCCGCUGUUCUGACGGUACCCAAAGAAUAAGCACCGGAUAACUUCGUG
rnacentral:rRNA from 1 species